GACGGGGGGUCCUAGCGUUGUUCGGAAUCAUUGGGCGUAAAGCGGGCGUAGGUGGCUAUGUAAGUCAGGAGUGAAAGCCCUGGGCUCAACCCAGGAAGUGCUUUUGAAACUGCGUAGCUUGAGUGUGGAAGAGGAUAGUGGAAUUCCUGGUGUAGUGGUGAAAUACGUAGAUAUCGGGAGGAACACCAGUGGCGAAGGCGACUUCCUGGCCUGUUCUUGACGCUGAGGCGCGAAAGCUAGGGGAGCAAACGGG
rnacentral:rRNA from 1 species